rnacentral:rRNA from 1 species
UACGUAGGGUGCAAGCGUUGUCCGGAAUUAUUGGGCGUAAAGAGCUCGUAGGCGGUCUGUUGCGUCGGCUGUGAAAACCCGGGGCUCAACUCCGGGCCUGCAGCCGAUACGGGCAGACUAGAGUUCGGCAGGGGAGACUGGAAUUCCUGGUGUAGCGGUGAAAUGCGCAGAUAUCAGGAGGAACACCGGUGGCGAAGGCGGGUCUCUGGGCCGGAUACUGACGCUGAGGAGCGAAAGCGUGGGGAGCGAACAGG